GGAAAGAUGAAAAGACUUUGAAAAGAGAGUUAAAAGUACGUGAAAUUGUUGAAAGGGAAACGAUUGAAGUCAGUAUGUUAACGUGAAAUCAAUCAAACCAUUGGUAUGAUGUAAUUUCCCGUGAACAGGUCAAAUCAAUUCUUAUUGCCAUAUAAAGAUUGGGGGAAUGUGACUUCUUUUUUGAAGUGUUAUGCCCUUGGUCAAUGUGGUGAUCAGGAUUGAGGAAUGCAAUGAAUACCUUUAGGGCUGAUACCUAUUCUCCGUUUGAGUGUAACAUUGUUGACAGCUUGCUGACUAUGAUGUUACAAUCACGAAAGUUUAGAGUAUAUUUAAAUUCGUUAAGGAUGUUGACGUAAUGGCUUUAAACGA
rnacentral:rRNA from 1 species